GAUGAACGUUGGCGGCGUGCCUAACACAUGCAAGUCGAACGGCAAUAGCAAUAUUGGAGUGGCGCACGGGUGAGUAACACGUAGCUAAUCUACCUCAAAGCGCGGGAUAACGUGUCGAAA
rnacentral:rRNA from 1 species